AAACGUUGGUAUGGCAGCAGUCGCCUGAGAAUUAGAGGCAGAGACACCAAAGAUAGAUGCUGCAGAUGACUGAGAACUAGGAGCAGAUACACCAAAGGUGGAUGUUGAAGCUGGCUGAGAAUUAGAGGCAGACUCGCCAAAGAUAAAUGCUGCAGAUGAAUGAGAACUAAGAGCAUUUACACCAAAUGUAGAUGUUGAAGCUGGUUGAGAAUGAGAGGCAGACACACCAAAGACAGAUACAGCAGAUGACUGAGAACUGGGAGCAGAUACACCAGAGAUGGAUGUUGCAGCUGGCAGAGAAUUAGAGGAAGACACGCUAAAGAUAGGUACUGCAGAUGAUUGAGAAAUAGGGGCAGAUACACCAAAGGUGGAUGUUGAAGAUGACUGAGAAUUAGAGGCAGACACAUCAAAGAUAGAUGCUGCAGAUGAUUGAGAACUAGGAGCAGAUACGCCAAAGGUGGAUGUUGCAGUUGGCUGAGAAGUAGUAGAUACACCAAAG
rnacentral:lncRNA from 1 species